AAAGAAAGAAAGAAAGAAAGAAAGAAAGAAAGAAAAAGAAAUCCAGGCAUUGUUCCUGACUGCAGCUGGUGCCAACUAGAAUCCUGCCGAGCAGAAUGGAGCCGAGAGCCCUGCCGCCCAGGGGCCUGGCUGCUGACACAGGGCCUUUCUAUUUUGCUUCUCACCAGGGGCCCAGGCUGACACUGCAGCCCCUCUUUGGCACCCUCUCCACCUGCCUCCCUGGCCCCGGCACUGAGCCUCCCCCUGCCCCUCACCCUCUUUGAGAGAAUCAGAUGCCACUUGGGAGGGCUGUAGGAGCACUGCCGCCCCCUGCCUGCCUUCCUCAUCCCCCCACAGCCUGGGGUGAGCUGGGUCUCCCUCUCUGCCCCCUGCCCCCCACCACCAGGAGGGGCCUGUGGAUGCCUGUCUGGGAAAGUGACGUAGAUCUUUCUUCCAUGGAAUCAUUUGGAACACAGGUUUGAUUUCAGAACAUACCAGGAUUUUCCAUCCCCCACCCCCCAUGCCCCUGACCUGACUUGGUAGGUACCAAUCCUCAGCUCACCCACUAAGCAAUAGGGAAGGCCUGGGCUGUGGGGUGUGGGGGGGACAAACAGCUUUGCAGAGACACAGAAGUGCUUUUUAAAGUCCCUGGUUCGCCUGCCCCCUCUGCUCCUAGAGACUUGGUCUCAGGAGAAAAAUGCCUCUCCCAAUUCUCCCUUACUAUCUUCCUUUCAUCCUCCCCCAUUCUUGCCCCUUUAGAAAUCUGAGGUCUGUUUUGCAACCCCCCCCCACCUCCACCAUGGGUUGGUCUGGCCCAGAUGAUCCCAAAUGUCAGCCCCAAGAGAGCAUCAGCCUGACCACUACCCAGCCACCAAAGCCAGCUCUCUAUUCUCUCACCUUCCUCCGAAGGGAACAGCACUUAGAGGUUGAAAUGAACACUUUCUGUUACACCUGAGUGCAACAGCCUCAGGAAGCAGGCAGAGAUGGUACAACCCACUUGAUAGAGGAACAAACUGAGGGUUCAGGAGGCCUGGAGCUUUGGCCAGGGUCACACAGGAAGGGACAGAGUUGGUAUGUGAACCCUCAUCUGUUGGUUCCAUGUCACUAAGCAGAAAUGGGGACCCAAGUGGUAAUGGCCUCAGAUGCCGGCGCUCCCAGCUUCCCUGAUGCUGCCAGGAGAAAGGAUGUCAGACACAUUGAUGCUUUCAACAAGUGUUUAUUGACUACCUGCUAUGAAUCGAAUACACGAAACCAGGCACCGGAGAUCCAACAGUGAGCAAAACAGAUGUGGUCUGUGCUGUCACAGAGCUUAUAUUCUGGUGAAGGAGACAGACCCCAGACAAACUGCAGGAAGAUGUCUCUGUCUCUCCCCAGCCCAGCCCACGUGCCUUGGAAGGAGCUCUGGCUGGGAGGUGGGAAGCUGGAGACCUAGUUCUGGUCCUAGUAUUGGUGCCGACUCCCUGUGUGGCGUUGGACAGGGUUUUCCAUCUGUGAAAUCCGCAAGUAUGUGGCUCCUCACGCCCUACUCCCAGCCUCUGAGUCAAGUGGUUAAUAAUUGCCUGGCAUGAAUAAUUAUCCUGAUUAAGUUUUUUCUUAAACCUGACUUUUCGUAGACUCUGGAGCCAAAAAGGGGCAUUUGACGCCAUCUAAUCUGAGCCCUAUCACUAAAGACGCAUCCCUUAGCCUCUUUCUUCCUAGGAGGUGACUGUCUCUGCUUGCAUCCUUCUGGAAAUGGGAAGAUUGCUCCCUUACGUAGCAGAAGAUGCCCAGUGGCGGGCUGGUAAAUGUUUAACAGCUGGUUCUCCCAAGUAGGGUAAACCUGAUUUGUAGUAUUUGCUGAUUUCCCAUGGUGUAAAAUACUUCCACCAUGGCCAAUUUCAGGCUGCCAUCUUAACAUCCAGCAGGUCACACAGUUCUUAAAAAUGUAACAAUCGCCCCCUGUGAGCCAGUCUGAGCCGGAUCGGCACACCACUGCCCCACCCUACGGAGAAGCCCUGUCCUGCUUUACUUGUUGGGAAGUUCUUCCUGUUAUUGAGCAAAACAUCUAAGUAUCAGGAACUCCAGCCUGGAAGUGCUGAGCUACUGUUCUGGGGUGUCAGAGGACAAGGGGGACCUUUGGCCCCAUGAAGCUCUUCAGAGAAUUGGAGGAAUUGACCCUGUCUCCUUCUAUUUGUGUACACGGCUUAUCUUGCUGCCAGACUGAGAGGCAGCUCAGGCUUGUUGAAAGAGCGUGGACUUUGGAGCUGCACGACCUGGCCCUGAAUCCCAGCCCUGCCACUUAGGGCUGUGAGCCCUUGGGAGCUUACACCAUCUCUUGGAGCCUCAGUUUCCUUGUCUAUAAAGUGGGGCUGGUGAUAACUACUAAGGUGGUUUGAUCAUUAAAUGCAAUUUGAAGUGUAAA